UUAUUAAUUGGAGCAAGAUGUGUCUCAACU
rnacentral:piRNA from 1 species